rnacentral:lncRNA from 1 species
CUUGUCGCCAUCUUGAUGUCUCUUCCUGCUACAUGAAGGUGUUGUUAUUCGAAGUGGAUACUCGUCUGCUAAUUAAGUUUAUUGUUGGCGUUCGUCUGCGCAGUACGCCCUCAUGAAUCGUGAGAUUUCUGCCAUGCGGCGCUCCACGGGGUUCGAACUAGGAGAAUAUGUGGAAGUUCGAGAUAUUUUUAUAUCAGCCAGGUCAAGUAUUCUUUUCCAUGGUUUGCUACAAAAAUAUGAUGCAUUAUCUGAUAGAAUGCGCUUAGGUUUUCCUACUUGCGGAGUCCACUUAUUCACUAUGCAAUUUGCUAGGACUUCUCCUGUUAGCUUACCGAUGGGAAAGAACAUGGUGUAUUUAGAGAAUGUGCAUGUUAAUACGAAUAUAUAUUUCUUCCCAUGUUGUGCUAGGGGUAGAGGACCAUAAAUGUCGGCUGAUACUAACUCCAAUGGGGCGGUCGGCAAUAUAGGUAUCAUUGCUCCCCUGACUUGAUAUUUUAAAUGUUUGGUUUUCUGACAUAGGUCGCAUGCUCUUAACACUUUGACUACCUUUUUGUGCAUACCUUUCAGAUAACAGGCUUCUUUUAGUGUACAUAUCGUUUUUCUUACUCCAAAGUGGCCAAUUCUCUCAUGCGUUUCCUUAAUCACUUCUUCCGCUAUUUCCUUAGGUAUUAUGAUUCUCCAGUUAUAAUCUUGUGGUGUGGUGCGGUGAAAUAGGAAUCCACGGUAUCGCGUGUACUGUCGCAGGUAGUGGGGCGGUUCAGAUGGUCCUUCCUCCAGUAUUUCUAAAAUUUGGGAUAGCUUAGGGUCUUCUUUUUGCGCAUUCUGAAUCCUUCUGGGUGUUAGUGUAUUCUUGUAGACUUGAGGUUUGAUAUUUUCGGGAUAUGGUAUGCUUUCGUCCAUUUCCAUUGCGUAGCAUUUCAGGUUUGUGUCGUUACAGUAAGUGGCAUCUAAUUCUCGGGAUAGAAAAUCGGCUGUUUGAUUUUGCUUUCCUGGUAAGUGUGUGAGAUCGAGGUCAAACUCUUGAAGAGCGAGAAACCAUCUUGACAGUCUGUUGUGGUUUAAUUUAGCUGUUUUAAAAAAUGUAAGAGCUUUAUGGUCGGUAUUGAUAUAAAUUUUAUUUCCCAACAGUAGCGUGCGGUAUUUUUUACAGACUUCUACUAUACUUAAUAAUUCCUUUUCAGUAAUCGAAUAGCGUCUUUGUGCUGGAUUUAGGGUUUUACUGAAAAAAGCUAGUACUCCCUUAUCUCCUUCGGCACUUUUCUGAAAUAUUUCUGCUCCUAUGGCGUAAUCUGAGGCGUCUACAUUUAUGUAAAAUGGCUGGCUCAUAUCGGGAUGACUUAAUACAACUAUUUCAAGGAAAGCUUCUUUUAAUUCUCGAAAUAUCUUCUCUUCUGCUUCUGUCCACUUCCAUGCUUUGUUGGUAGAUAAUACGUGACUUAAUUGGGCAGUGUAGUGUGACAUACGGCUGUUGAAACGUCUAUAGAAUUGAAGAAAUCCAAUGAAUUUCUGUAGUUGCUUUCGGUUGGUUGGUGAAGGGAAUUUUCUGAUGGCUUCUAAUUUACUGCUAUCCUGGGAGAUGCCGUCCGGGGUGAUGAUAUGUCCCAAAUAUUUGACUUGUUGUGCAAAAAAUUCGCAUUUUGAUAAUUUCAAUUUGAGUCCACAUCUGAUGAGGCGACGAAAUAUUAUAUCUAGGUGUUGACAAUGGUCCUGAAUAUUUGUUGAAGAAAUAAUUCCAUCAUCCACGUAGAGUGUACAGAAAUCCGUGACAUCUUCUCCUACGGCUUGACGAAGGCAACGAAUAAAUAUGGCCAUGGCGUUCCUCAGUCCAAAAGCUAGGCGAGUGAAGCGGUAAUUUCUUCCGUUGAAUAAGAAUGAUAGAUAAUCUCUUGAUUCUGCCGCUAUCUGGAUCUGCCAAUAACCUGCGCUUAGGUCAACUGUAGAAUAUACAUUCUUCCCACUAAAGGUUUGAAGCACCUGUUCUAUCUGGUCUGGGCUCUCACGGUCAUCUUCCAAAAUGCUGUUAAGUGCUCGCGCGUCCAGACAUAAUCUCACGGUACCGUCUUUCUUAGCAACACAAACAAUUGGUAAGCUAUAUUGAGAGCUUGAUGGUUCAAUAAUCCCCAAUUCUAACAUUCUGUCUAUCUCUGCUAUAGCUGCCGGGCGGUAUGUAAAUGGUAUUGGAUAAGAUUUUCGGUAAUAGGCUUCAUGAGGUUUGACUUUGAGUCGGCAUUCAAAAUCUUUAGCUAGUCCUGGCUGUUCUGAGAAGACAUCUCUAUUUUCAAUGAAAACCUUCGCGACACUGUUUUUUGUAUCUAAAUCCCAUUCAGCAUAACAGUUUAUCCUAUCCAAUAAUUUUCCGAGCAUUUCUUCAGAGGAAACCUCUUUAUCAAUCACGCCGUCAUCCGUCGUUGUUAAACUCAACACUUCAAAAUGCUCCAUGGUUUC